rnacentral:rRNA from 1 species
GCCUAGCCGUAAACAAUUAACUUACACUAAUAAACGCCAGGGAACUACGAGCUAUGCUUAAAACCCAAAGGACUUGACGGUGUCCCAUACCAACUAGAGGAGCCUGUUCUAUAAUCGAUGACCCCCGCUAUACCCAACCAUCCCUUGCUUUAUCAGCCUGUAUACCUCCGUCAUAAGCCUACCAUGUGAACGUCAACAGUGGGCCCAAUGGUUUAUACAACCAAAAUGCCAGGUCAAGGUGCAGCUCACGGAAUGGUAAGUAAUGGGCUACAAUUUCUAAUCUAGAACAAACGGAAAGCUAUGUGAAACCACAGCCUAAAGGUGGAUUUAGUAGUAAAAAGAAAAUAGAGUGUUCUUUUUAACCCGGCCCUGGGACACGUACACACCGCCCGUCACCCUCUUCAAUAGCUCUCAUUUUAUGUAUAUUACACUAUAUCUGCGUUUUAGAAGAGGCAAGUCGUAACAUGGUAAGUGUACUGGAAAGUGCACUUGGUUAACAAUAUGUAGCUUA